UAUCUCUGUAGAGUCUGCAUAUCAAUAAGCGGAGGAAAAGAAACUAACUAGGAUUCCCCUUAGUUAACGGCGAGUGAAGCGGGAAGAGCUCAAAUUUGAAAUCUUAAAGGGUUUCUACCUCUGACGAAUUGUAGUUUAAAGAAGUGUUUUCUGUUGGAGUUUUGGUAAAAGUUCUUUGGAAUAGGACAUCAUAGAGGGUGAGAAUCCCGUAUUUGACCAUUACUUCCAGCGCUGUGAUACACUUUCAAAGAGUCGGAUUGUUUGGGAAUGCAGUCCAAAAUGGGUGGUAAAUUUCAUCUAAAGCUAAAUAUUGGCGAGAGACCGAUAGCGAACAGGUACCGUGAGGGAAAGAUGAAAAGAACUUUGAAAAGAGAGUUAAACAGUACGUGAAAUUGUCAAAAGGGAAGCGUUUGACACCAGUGUUGUUUUCUCGAAAAUCAAUUAAAAAAAGUUGGAUUUUGUAUUGUUAAGACCUUAUCAGCUUACUGUACUCUUUUCUUGCUUUUUUUUAAUGCACUUUUCGUUUAACAAGUCAACAUCAAUUUCUUUUGUUGUAAAAGAGUCAUUGGAAGGUGGCUUUCACUUCGGUGAAAGUGUUUAUAGCCUUUGGCCUUCUGCAAUCGGAGAGAUUGAGGUCUGCAGCGUAGAUCCUUCGGGGUUAGAUACAUUUGUGCUAAGUUAUAGCCUUUCAUAGACAACUUGUUGACUAUGAUCAGGUUAUGUAGCUUACUCGCUUAUGCUAUUUUACCUACGCUUAGGAUGUUGACGAUCAGCUGAGCGCG
rnacentral:rRNA from 1 species